CUCUUGAAGAGAUCACAUCCUAUUUUGAAGAUCCAUACAUUUCCAAUGUGCAUGCUAAUUGCAUCCAUACAAUUAACUUCAUAUCAAUCAUUAGUUAUGGUUUAUAAAAUACAAUGACUGGAAACUAUGACCCUCCAUGUGUUCUUGAUUUACAGUUUCCAUCAACUCUAGGUAGCAUAGCCAAUAAGGAAGAAUGAUGGAAGCUAAAAUCCAAAAGAGCACCUGAAUUUGAUCUAGAAUUAGGUUUUAUUAUCUAUUUUACAAAGUCUCCAUCGAUUCAGUGGGUUUGCUUUACUUGCCAUCAGCAUGAAGACAGGAUUAAUGACUUUCCCUACAGAUGAAAUCCAGGACAUAUGGAUGGAGUCAACCGACAACAAAGUGUGGUCAAAAUGUCAAAAGUUAUUAAUGAAGAAGUGCACAAAACAAGGAGAGGCUGCAACAGUGUGCUUGUGCCUGAACAUACUAGAAAGAAAAAGAUUUCCAUUUCAUUUCCUCUUUGAGAGGUUCCUGCUUCAAGUACUGGUUGACAAGGUCAGAACAAACUAGUGUCUCUAGCUUUUGGCACCAAUUAAAAUUGUCUAUUAAAAUAUGGCAAAAUGGAAUUGUGUCAUAUUUAUUUAAAUGUAGAUUUAAUGUACAAAUUUACAGUGCUGUGCAUGGGACUACUGGGCCACACAGCCACAAUAAAUGUGUUUAUGGCUGAGGAAGUGAUUAGAAGACUAGGGAGAUGGAUGGUCCCCAGCGGUUCUUCCUCAAACAAAAUACUUUUAUUACCCAUGUAGAUGGUUGCUUGUGAGGCAGUUGGUGGUUGUCUACUGUGAGAGGUUUCAGUGUAACACCCUGUGAGUGUAAUGAGUUUUUACCUCUGAUGGUCCUUCAUAGCACUCUCCUGGUUGUUACUUAAUUGAUUUCCGGCUGAGUCUUCAUAGGGAAAAUGUGGAUUGUGUGAAGCAGAACUCUCUUGUAUGGAUCAAUGCACAUUGUGACACGCCAAUAUUUCUGGCAAACUCACAGGAAGGAACUGAGGGGUGAAAGGAACUGGCAGUGUGUGAAAGUGGACUUUGGGUAUCUAAGUAACUGAAUAUAUUAUAUUGACUGUUUAGACUGAGGUUGGAUAAUCUAAGAUAAAAUUCAAUUUCAAGGAAGUUAUUUGGACUGGCAAAUAGCUUUGGUGGGAGGGGCCAAAGGCAAAGCAUUGGGCCAAAAUAUCAGUAUACUUUAGUUUAAAGCAUUUAAAGCUAUUAGCUGAGGCCCCACCUAUAUUGCCAUAUAAUGCAGUUCAAAACGGCAUUAUAUGGUCAGUAUAAACUAAUAUAGUGCAGUUCAAUGCACGUAAACUGCAUUAUAUGAGUCUACACUGACGAUAUAAUGCAGUUUUAAACUGCAUUACAUGGCAAUAUAAUGCAGUUUCAACAGCCUGUUGAAUAGGGAAAGGUCCAUAGAAAAGCUGGGAAAUCACUAAACAACAGUGUCAUGGGUAAAGCGUAGUGACAAUCUGGGGAACUCCAGAGGGCCAGACUGAGAUCUCAGGAAAACCUGAUUUGAUGUUUCCCAUACCUGGUUUAGUUCCAAGCCCAGAACACAAGCUGCACCUAUACUCACUGAAGUAAUCAGGAGUACUA
ensembl:lncRNA